rnacentral:rRNA from 1 species
AUUGAACGCUGGCGGCAGGCCUAACACAUGCAAGUCGACCGCGUGGAGCACGGGUGAGUAAUGUCUGGGACACUGCCCGAUGGAGGGGUAUAACUACUGGAAACAGUAGCUCAUACCGAAUUCUAUCGUAUGUGCCGAGAUGGGUUUAGCUAGUAGGUGGGGUAACGGCUCACAUAGGCCACGAUCCCUAGCUGGUCUGAGAGGCUGACCAGCCACACGGGAACUGAGACACGGUCCAGACUCCUACGGGAGGCAGCAGUGGGGAAUAUUGCACAAUGGGCGCAAGCCUGAUGCAGCCAUGCCGCGUGUGUGAAGAAGGCCUUCGGGUUGUAAAGUACUUUCAGCGGGGAGGCGUUACUCGCAGAAGAAGCACCGGCUAACUCCGUGCCAGCAGCCGCGGUAAUUC